UACGGAAGGCAGCAGUGGGGAAUAUUGCACAAUGGGCGCAAGCCUGAUGCAGCGACGCCGCGUGAGGGAUGACGGCCUUCGGGUUGUAAACCUCUUUCAGUAGGGAAGAAGCGAAAGUGACGGUACCUGCAGAAGAAGCACCGGCUAACUACGUGCCAGCAGCCGCGGUAAUACGUAGGGUGCGAGCGUUAUCCGGAAUUAUUGGGCGUAAAGAGCUCGUAGGCGGUUUUGUCGCGUCUGUCGUGAAAGUCCGGGGCUUAACCCCGGAUCUGCGGUGGGUACGGGCAGACUAGAGUGCAGUAGGGGAGACUGGAAUUCCUGGUGUAGCGGUGGAAUGCGCAGAUAUCAGGAGGAACACCGAUGGCGAAGGCAGGUCUCUGGGCUGUAACUGACGCUGAGGAGCGAAAGCAUGGGGGAGCGGAAACAGGGAUUAGAUACC
rnacentral:rRNA from 1 species